rnacentral:rRNA from 1 species
AGCGAACGUUAGCGGCGGGCCUAACACAUGCAAGUCGAACGGGCUGUAGCAAUACAGUCAGUGGCGCACGGGUGAGUAACGCGUAGAUAAUCUACCUUCCGGCGGGGGAUAACAUUCCGAAAGGAAUGCUAAUACCGCAUAAGACCACGGGGUCCUCGGGCCCUGAGGGAAAAGGUGGCCUCUCCUUGGAAGCCAUCACCGGAAGAUGAGUCUGCGUCCCAUCAGCUAGUUGGUAAGGUAAUGGCUUACCAAGGCGAAGACGGGUAGCUGGUCUGAGAGGAUGAUCAGCCACACUGGUACUGGAACACGGACCAGACUCCUACGGGAGGCAGCGGUGGGGAAUAUUGGGCAAUGGGCGGAAGCCUGACCCAGCCACGCCGCGUGAGUGAUGAAGG